GAUGAACGCUGGCGGCGUGCCUAAUACAUGCAAGUCGAGCGAACGGACGAGAAGCUUGCUUCUCUGAUGUUAGCGGCGGACGGGUGAGUAACACGUGGAUAACCUACCUAUAAGGCUGGGAUAACUUCGGGAAACCGUAGCUAAUACCGGAUAAUAUUUUGAACCGCAUGGUUCAAAAGUGAAAGACGGUCUUGCUGUCACUUAUAGAUGGAUCCGCGCUGCAUUAGCUAGUUGGUAAGGUAACGGCUUACCAAGGCAACGAUGCAUAGCCGACCUGAGAGGGUGAUCGGCCACACUGGAACUGAGACACGGUCCAGACUCCUACGGGAGGCAGCAGUAGGGAAUCUUCCGCAAUGGGCGAAAGCCUGACGGAGCAACGCCGCGUGAGUGAUGAAGGUCUUCGGAUCGUAAAACUCUGUUAUUAGGGAAGAACAUAUGUGUAAGUAACUGUGCACAUCUUGACGGUACCUAAUCAGAAAGCCACGGCUAACUACGUG
rnacentral:rRNA from 1 species